UACGUAGGGGGCAAGCGUUGUCCGGAAUCAUUGGGCGUAAAGAGCGUGUAGGCGGCCCGGUAAGUCCGCUGUGAAAGUCCAGGGCUCAACCCUGGGAUGCCGGUUGAUACUGUCGGGCUCGAGUCCGGAAGAGGAGUGUGGAAUUCCUGGUGUAGCGGUGAAAUGCGCAGAUAUCAGGAGGAACACCAAUGGCGAAGGCAGCACUCUGGGACGUGACUGACGCUGAGACGCGAAAGCGUGGGGAGCAAACAGG
rnacentral:rRNA from 1 species